rnacentral:rRNA from 1 species
GUGGGGUAAAGGCCUACCAAGGCGACGAUCCGUAGCUGGUCUGAGAGGAUGAUCAGCCACAUCGGGACUGAGACACGGCCCGAACUCCUACGGGAGGCAGCAGUGGGGAAUAUUGGACAAUUGGGGCAACCCUGAUCCAGCCAUGCCGCGUGUGUGAAGAAGGCUUUCGGGUUGUAAAGCACUUUCAGUGGGGAGGAACACCUGGCGAUUAAUACUCGUCAGGCUUGACGUUACCCACAGAAGAAGCACCGGCUAACUCCGUGCCAGCAGCCGCGGUAAUACGGAACGAUGUCAACUAGCCGUUGGGGAUCUUGAAUCCUUAGUGGCGCAGCUAACGCACUAAGUUGACCGCCUGGGGAGUACGGCCGCAAGGUUAAAACUCAAAUGAAUUGACGGGGGCCCGCACAAGCGGUGGAGCAUGUGGUUUAAUUCGACGCAACGCGAAGAACCUUACCUGGCCUUGACAUCUACAGAAUCCUCCAGAGAUGGAGGAGUGCCUUCGGGAACUGUAAGACAGCCGUAACGAGCGCAACCCCUAUCCCUAGUUGCCAGCACGUAAAGGUGGGAACUCUAGGGAGACUGCCGGUGACAAACCGGAGGAAGGUGGGGAUGACGUCAGGUCAUCAUGGCCCUUACGGCCAGGGCUACACACGUGCUACAAUGGCGCGCACAGAGGGCUGCAAACCCGCGAGGGGGAGCCAAUCUCACAAAACGCGUCGUAGUCCGGAUCGCAGUCUGCAACUCGACUGCGUGAAGUCGGAAUCGCUAGUAAUCGUGAAUCAGAAUGUCACGGUGAAUACG